AUGCAAGAGUUCCACUGUGGCUCCUCAGACUCUGUUCCCAUCCUUGCCCUUCUGCCCAGGAAAUACCAUUUAAUGCAUGUGCCCAGUUACUGCAACAACUUUGAAGAAAGGAAGAGUAAGUCAAAGGCAAUGCAAGAAGGCAGGAUCUGGCAACAGAAGCUGUCAAGAUUCCAAACCCAGAAAUGCAAACACCUACUGUCCAAAUUAUUGUUGUACUGGUAGAAACAGGAUGUGAUCUAAGAUGAAGAGCUGUAAUAGUUUUGGGACUGUAUCUUGUAUUUCCAAAAGAAGAAUUGCAAGUCCAUUGAAAUGCAAGACUUAACUUCUGGAAUUGUACGCCAAAUAUACUCCAAAACAUUGUCUUCAUCAACAAAGGUAGGAUUUUUUAAA
rnacentral:lncRNA from 1 species